rnacentral:rRNA from 1 species
GACGAACGCUGGCGGCGUGCUUAACACAUGCAAGUCGAACGGAAAGGCCCUGCUUUUGUGGGUUUCUCGAUUGGCGAACGGGUGAGUAACACGUGAGUAUCCUGCCCUUGACUUUGGGAUAACUUCAGGAAACUGGGGCUAAUACCGGAUAGGAGCUCCUGCUGCAUGGUGGUGGUUGGAAAGUUUCGGCGGUUGGGGAUGGACUCGAGGCUUAUCAGCUUGUUGGUGGGGUAGUGGCUUACCAAGGCUUUGACGGGUAGCCGGCAUGAGAGGGUGACCGGCCACAUUGGGACUGAGAUACGGACCAGAAGCCUACGGGAGGCAGCAGUGGGGAAUAUGGCAGAAUGGGCGGAAGUCAGAGGCAGCAACGCCGCGUGCGGGAUGACGGCCUUCGGGUUGUAAACCGCUUUCGCCGGUGACGAAGAGGGAGUGACGGUAAUGGGUAAAGAAGCACCGGCUAACUACGUG